rnacentral:lncRNA from 1 species
CAAUAUAGUAAAUUCCUCACCUUUCCUUUGAAGUUUCCAAUAUAAAAUAUACUUGCAAAAUUACUUUAAAUUUCAUUCGACCACAAGGAAACUGUUUUAAACCAGAUGAAUUUCUUUUGUCAGGAGAAAUGUCUUUCUGUUGGUUUGCAAAAUGCACUAACAAAUACUCAAAUAGACGAAAAUAUCAUAUUAAAAACAUUCGUUUGAUUCAAGAUUAAACAUGGAUAUAACAGAUUAAGACAAACAUGAUAUUGUGCAACCACACAUAUAAUACUGCCCCCCCCCUUUUCCAAAAAAAUAGAUGUGAUAAAAAUACUUUAAAAAAACUCAAUGAAUAGAAAAGUAAAUAAGAAUGUCAUAGUCGCCCGUUUUUUUUUUUUUUUUGUCUAAUAGGUUCAAUGCGUGAUCUAGAAAUAAUAAAAAUCAUCUAAAGGUAGGGUCUCUUUGUUUUAUAGAGAUUUAAUCUUAUCCAAUUGCAGUCGUUUGUUUGUUUGUUCCUAGAAUAAUAUUUGAACCGAAAUUCGUGUAAACCAUUGAGAUAUAUAUCAUUGACAAUUUGACAACUAUCCAAAAAGUAUAAUAGGUCACCGUACUGCUUAUAACAAAGACAAAAGCCAAUACUGUUUAGUAAGCUGCAAAAUGCCACAUAAUUUUAACAAGAAAACUGACGACCUGAUCUAUGAUAAAAUAACUAAAAAAAAAAAAACAACAAUCAAUGACAACCACUGAACUACAGGCUACUGACUUUAGACAGACACAUGCAAAUUUCGGCAGGGUUAAACAUACAUGUCUGUGACUAUAUAAAGAUGGUAUUUUAAGUAGAUUUCUAGAAUCCAAC